UCCGGGUAGACGCCGUCCUUGGGGUGCAGGUACUGGACCUCGCCGUUGGGGAAGACGCGGUAGAACUGGUAGUUGAUCUUGUACUUGGAGCGCAGCCUGGUGCCCAGCGCCAGGCACUGCUCCUUGCGCGCCAGCUUCAGGAGGUUGGGCCCCUCCCGCAUGAUGGCGGCGCCGCCCGUGGGCAUCUCGAACACCUGUUCCUUGGGGGACGUCCACGUGAUCACGUAGAACUCCUCCACCUGCGCCUUGCGGAGCAGGCCCCCCGUGCUGCCGCCGAAGAUCGGGGACGGCGUGUUGGGGUCCAGCUGCGGGGGCACGAACCCCUUGGGGGCCUCCUCGGUCGCCGCCGCCGCCGCGGGCUCCUCGGCUGCCGCGCGGAGCGGGGCCGGCCCGCGGGAGGACGACGGGAGCGCCAGCUGGGACGACCGCGGCGCCUUCGCCGGUGACCAGGCCGCCGCCAGCAGGUGGCGCGUCGCGGCGGAGGCUUGCGUGGCCAUGGCCAUCGGCUUCUUCGGGCGGAAGCUAAGCUGGGGUGCGCGGCAGCAGGAUGAUGCUGGGAGAAUG
rnacentral:lncRNA from 1 species